rnacentral:rRNA from 1 species
UGAGGAUCCCGGUUGAUCCUGCCAAGGAAGCACACUCCGGUCAUAGAUUAAGCCAUGCAAGUCUGAGUUCAGGGAACGAAACCGCAUCCAGCUCAUUAACACACUCAGGACCUUCUUGGCAACGACCGAUGUCUUAUAGGGAUAGCCGAAGUAACUCUUGUGCUAAUACCCGCAAGUGGACCCUCCGAUACGAGAUAGGAGGCUCAAGUUGACCCUUCGGGGCCUGUCAUAAGGGUGAGCGACCUAUCAGCUAUUACUUAGGGUCUUUCCCUAUGUAGGCGAUGACGGGUAACGGGUGAUUAUCGUCAGAUUGCCGGAGAAGGAGCCUGAGAGACAGCUGCUAUGCCUACGGGCAGCAGCAGGCGCGUAAAUUACCCACUUUCAGGGGCAGAGGUGGUAAUGACCAGUUCCAGCUAGCGUCCUUCGGGGCCUUUUUGGAUAGGGAGGUUUGCAAAGAUUGCAGAGCAAUCUAGCAGAGGGCCAGUCUGGUGCCAGCAGCUGCGGUAAUUCCAGCUCUGCAUGCUUGCUCCCAUAUUGUUGCAGUUAAAACGCCCGUAGUCAAAGGUCUCACGAAGAGGCUGAUGCCGUCCACCACGAAUAAAACAGAGAGCUUAGGUAAUGGAUCAUGAAUGAUCAAGCGUGGUUUGGAUUAUUUACCUGCACGGAGGUAAGGCAAAAGGGAGCCAAAGGGGGUGGUGAUAUUCCGGGGCGAGCGGUGGAAUGCGUUGACCCUCGGGAGAUCCACAAAAGCGAAAGCAACCACCUAUAGGGUAUCCGUCGAUCAAGGGCGAAAGUAGGGGAGCGAACCGGAUUAGAGACCCGGGUAGUCCCUACUGUAAACUAUGUCGACAAGGGCUUAUCCACACGUGGGUAGAACUUGUUGAGAAAUCGUAGUGCAUGGAUUCUGGGGGAACUACGAUCGCAAGACUGAAACUUGAAGGAAUUGACGGAAGGGCACACAAGGGGUGGAGCCUGUGGCUCAAUUUGAAUCAACACGGGGAAACUUACCAGGACCAGAUGCUCUGGUGACUGACAGCCUGCCGGGCUUUCAGGAAGAGCUGUGGGUGGUGCAUGGCCGUUGGUGGUGCGUGGGUUGACCUGUCAUUCGUUUAUUCAGGUAACGAGCGAGACUACUAGCCCCUAUUAUCGACUCGAGACUCGCCACCGAGAGGAGAUCUAGGGGCGACAGCAUGGUUUCAACCAUGAGGAAGGUAGUAGCAAUAACAGGUCCGUGAUGUCCUUUAGAUGCCCUGGGCUGCACGCGUGCUACAGUGAGUGUGCCAGAGGGUCGCAAGCGUGCGAACACCCGCUACCCACUAAGCACACCCGUGGUUGGGAUUGAGCAUUGUAAUGAUGCUCAUGAACCAGGAAUCCCUUGUAAAUGCGUGUCAACAGCGCGCGUUGAAUACGUCCCUGCCCUUUGUACACACCGCCCGUCGCUCCUACCGAUUGGAUGACCUGGUAAAAAGAUCGGACUUCACGGAAAGGUCUUUGAAUCACGCCAUCUAGAGGAAGGAGAAGUCGUAACAAGGUAACGGUAGGUGAACCUGCAGCUG